AUUGAACGCUGGCGGCAGGCUUAACACAUGCAAGUCGAGCGGAGUGAUGGUGCUUGCACUAUCACUUAGCGGCGGACGGGUGAGUAAUGCUUAGGAAUCUGCCAUUUAGUGGGGGACAACAUUCCGAAAGGAAUGCUAAUACCGCAUACGUCCUACGGGAGAAAGCAGGGGAUCUUCGGACCUUGCGCUAAAUGAUGAGCCUAAGUCGGAUUAGCUAGUUGGUGGGGUAAAGGCCUACCAAGGCGACGAUCUGUAGCGGGUCUGAGAGGAUGAUCCGCCACACUGGGACUGAGACACGGCCCAGACUCCUACGGGAGGCAGCAGUGGGGAAUAUUGGACAAUGGGCGGAAGCCUGAUCCAGCCAUGCCGCGUGUGUGAAGAAGGCCUUUUGGUUGUAAAGCACUUUAAGCGAGGAGGAGGCUACUAGUACUAAUACUACUGGAUAGUGGACGUUACUCGCAGAAUAAGCACCGGCUAACUCU
rnacentral:rRNA from 1 species